ensembl:lincRNA
GCUACAUGUAGCGGCAAAAGAUGCGUAGGAGUCCCUUUCAUGCCUUUCAGAGCUUCCAGUUUUCUUGGAAACAUAAGUAAUAUACAUGCGAUGGUAUCAGUCCUAGCACCUUCAUCACAAAGGGUACCUUUGACCGGAGCGUGACCCUGCUGGAGGUGUGCGGGAGCUGGCCUGAGGGCUUCGGGCUGCGGCACAUGUCCUCCAUGGAGCACACGGAGGAGGGGCUCCGGGAGCGGCUCGCUGACGCCAUGGCUGAGUCCCCAAGCAGGGAUGUCGUGGGAUCGGGAACAGACACAGCCCUUGAAGUAGCAGUAGGACACAUCACCCCUGAGAGACACAUGGCUGUGAAGUGCUUGGAGCUUCAGCGAGAGGGAAGCAUCGAGACUCUGAGUAAUAGCUCAGGCUCCACCAGCGGCAGCAUACCAAGAAACUUUGAUGGCUACCGAUCUCCGCUCCCCACCAACGAGAGCCAGCCCCUCAGCCUCUUCCCCACCGGCUUCCCAUAGGUGCCAGCUACCUGCUUCCAACUGGCUUGGCCCACACCUGCUGGAGGGAGGAGAAGCCCCCCUCCAGCCCUACCCUCAAUCUCUGCUCCUCUUUCAUCAACCACCUUCCCCAAGCUUAGUGACAACAGCCACCCAUCCUACCUGGAUCGAGAAGAGGCCCUGCUCCGAAGCACCUGACCUCGAGACACCCUGACCUCUGCUGCUGUCAGUGGGGGCUGUGGCCAAGAGAGACUGCAGCAGCUCAGUCCCCUCCUCUGUUUGCACAUGAUGUCCAGCAUUGGACCUGCUUUUGUAUUUUCUGACCUUCCUCACAGGGGGCCUAGAACAGUGACCAGAUCUUGGAGCCUAGGUGGAGACAGGGCAGAUGGUCCCACCAGGCACUUUGGCCCUGAAUGGAUAGUCUCAGCCCCAGCCCACUCCAGGCUGUGAUACACACUGCCCCCAGCUUCCCUUGUUUAGCCCCUCUCCAGCAUGGAGUGAACUGAGGCCCAGAAUGUCAGGGAAGGAGGGAGGAAGAAAAGGAAACCUUCUUCCCCUUCCUCCUUGCUUUCCCCAAUGGCUCAUGGGAAGAAUUUGUAUUUCUUAUUUUUAAGCCCUUUUACCCUGGUCUUGUACUGUUCAGUGAAGGAAACUGGUUACUGAGGCCCUGUUGAAAAGUGCACGUCUUGUCCAAUAAAUCACGCUGCAAUUGGUGUCCAUCCCUGAGUUGCUGGGGUCAGAGUCCUCUCCAAACACCAAGCAGAGUCCUGUGGGCCUGACCACGGGCCCCAGCUCCCAGCAUACCCCAACACGUGCAACACACAGGGGGAGCUGGAGAGGGGGAAGUAGGAAAGGCAGGGAGAAUCUUUGCUCUCUGGUUUGGGUGAGGCCUGAUUUAAGUCCAUCUGCCAAGCUGCUUGCCCAUUACCAGAGCAGGUGAAGUCUGGGGUUGCUGGGCUUGGACUCUCCCUGCUGGGGGCCAUGAUGUCUGGCACCCGAGGUCUGGUGGGUUCCUGUGGGAAGAGAACUUGACCAAUGCCCUGGCCUCACCUUUAGGGCACCUUGGAAUUGCCUCUUCCAGCUCAGAAGGUUCGAGGGCAGUCAGAUGAAAGUGACUGUGUCACGGAACAUGGCUGGCACCCCAGGUGACACGUUCCUGAUUUUGCUCUUCCCUCCUCCCAGUCUGGACCUAAGUGAAUGGCAACAAAGACAUGAGUAGGAGAGCAAAAGAGUGUGUUCAACAGAAAGGAGAUUAACAGUGGUCCUAGUCUCCUGUUCCCUGGCCCAUACUCCAGAUACCCCAGGAGGCCUUGGAGGAUUGAAGGAAACCCACUGAGCCAAAAGCUGUGGUUUGGGGUGAAGUUUAAUGGAACAGCCAAAGAGGGCUUGAGUUCGAAGACAGCGAGGCCAUCAGCUGGGCCCUUCACGCCCAGCAUCCCACCCCUGCUGCCUGAGAAGAGAUUUAGUCUUCAGUCUCCUCCACGGGGUUUGUUGGGCAUGUGGGGGGAAGGGUGCCCGUGCCACAGUGAGGAAUGUGGGAAACACAAGGUGGGCCAGCUGGUGACAAUGGCCACAGGAGCAGCAUCUUGUCCCCAUUUUGGCUACACUGGAAUUCCUGAAUGCCUGUGAACUGCCCUUACCCCCAGCCAGGGCGGCAUUUCAGUCAAAAAGGGACAAGGGGGGGGUGCCACCAGGCUGCCUGCACAUUUUGUAUGUGGCUGGGCUCCCCUGGGAUGGGUCCAGAAGCUCCAGGGAGCAUGAGCCCCUCGCAGGGAACCCAUGGGCAGCUUAGAGUCAGGCGUCCUCCCCAGGCCAGCCUUUCCACUCCAGUGGGGGUAAAACAGCUGUGGCCUCCUCCAGUCAGGGAAAGUGGUGGGUGUAGGGCUGGACUUACUGGCUGAGCUUGCAGGACAAUCUGGUUAUUCAUCUGCUCAGCAGUCAGGGCACUUCUUUCAGUAUGUGGGGGAAGGGUGAGGAUCAGAGAGCUCAGAUAAGCUGGCCCCAGGGCGGCUGCCACUAGAACUCAGGUUAUCAGAAAGGCCCUGGGUCUGGCCCCAGGCUAAUUGGGAAGGUUAUAGACCCUGCCAUAACCUGUAAUCAGCUGGAAGUGAGAGCUGGGCCCCCAGGCAGGCAGGCCCACUGGCCCUGUCCCCCACAGAUAAGAUCCAGGACAGUAUCCACCUCCACCCACACCCAAGCAGACCUCAUAGCAUUACCUAGAAGGUCAUCCGAACAUGAAUCUAAAUGUGGCCGGACCUGGUGACCUUGAGGGAGCCAAGCGACCUCCCCGAUUCUCAAAGCACUACCUGCUCAAUGGGCAAAGUACUGUGGACUCCCUCUCAGUCUGAUGGAGGAAAGUAUCUUCAUGAUCUGCGGAAGCUGGUGGGAGCUGGGCUGGCAACUCAAAAGCUUGAUGUGGGAAGAGGGUCAGUGGUUCCCAGGCAGGUUCAGACACAGGCACCACAGGGGCCAGCUCCCCUGCAGGCCUGGAGGCCAGGCCAACAGCCACAACUGGGGCUAGUUUCUCCUGGCUAAUUUUUCAUUUUGGAAGAUCAGAGACUUUGUAAACUAGAAGGUACCUGAGAAUGCUCUUGGGUCCCUGUUAUGCCAACGACAAGUCUGGCCCCUCUAUUCCUGGCUGCUUCACACCCCAACCAGUUCCCUUAGAAGGGCCCAAAUUUGCACUGAACUCUGUCCUGGGCUCCCGUGGGAUUCCGCCCACUGACCCUUGUGCUGUACCCCUUCAAACUCCCAGGCUAGCUUUGAAACUAUUACCUUGCUGCUGUGUAACUGGGAAGCAGCGGCUCCUGCGGACCUACACCUGUAUGCCCUAGAGACAAAGCUAGAGCACUUCCUGUACAUCUUGUAUUCAAAGCAAGAGCCCAGUGGAGGGCUGGAGGCCCUGGAGUGUCUCUGUGGCCUUCCUCCUUACACAUGGUUCUAUAGCCAGUAGCAGUGGCAUGGUCUUCUAAGGAGUAGAUCUGGGUGUGCUCCUCCUAAGUCCCAGAGCCCCAUGUCAGCCCUGCCACCAGCAGCCACCUGACCUUGGGUGAAAAUGCACCACUGGACUUCAGGGUGCCCAUCUGUAGAAGAGAGGAGUGGGGAACAGGAACAGAGCGACAGCUUACAUAGGCUAAGGGGAAGCUGCAGGUCAGAAGAGCAAAAGGGGAUUUGGAGGUGCCGAGGAUGACAGACCAGGCCAGGUAGCUCAUAGGGCUGGGACAUGGGAGGGUCUGGGGAGGCUCAGCUGGCGCCCAAACUGUUUUCCCAAAGCUGCUCCAGAGGAUCCUAAGGCAAAUCAACUUCCUGGUGAGCGCUGGCGGACCAGCCCCGCCCCUCUGUCCCAGGUGGGCCGGUGCUAGAGGGUCUUUCCUGAACUUUACCCCCUCUAGCCACUCAGCAGAAUGCCAGUUCAUGGUCCUUCGAUCCCAGACACCUGCACCCCUGUCUCCUGCUGCGCGUGUCCGUGCACACGCACGUUGAAGACUCGCGCCUCACUUUUGCCGUCCCCUGCCUCCCAAGUGGACAAACUCUAUCCUCGAAACCGCGGCCCAGAGCAGUGAGUAGUCUGCAGGUCCCAGGUUAACCGGUACCCCAAACUCUGGGAAGUCGCCCAAGUCGGGCAGGGACGCGUGGCCUGGUUUCCCCGCUUCCGCAGGACCUCUCAGGUGCAGGUGAGGCCCCUGAGAGCCAAGUCUGUCGCUGCCCGUCGCAGCCAGAUUGGUCCUCGCCUUGCAUCACCCUGGGGGACAUCGGCCAGACCUAACUGGAGGAAGUGGUCCGGCCAGUCCUGGCCCAAGACCACGGCCAGGAGGGGGUAGCAGCUAGAAGCCUUUGCUCUAAAUAGUUUGUCUUUAGACUGCUUGCCAAUACCAUA